UACGGGGGGGGUAAGCGUUGUUCGGAAUUACUGGGCGUAAAGGGCUCGUAGGCGGCCAACUAAGUCAGACGUGAAAUCCCUCAGCUUAACUGGGGGAACUGCGUCUGAUACUGGAUGGCUUGGAUUCGGGAGAGGAAUGCGGAAUUCCAGGUGUAGCGGUGAAAUGCGUAGAUAUCUGGAGGAACACCGGUGGCGAAGGCGGCAUUCUGGACCGACAUUGACGCUGAGGAGCGAAAGCCAGGGGAGCAAACGGG
rnacentral:rRNA from 1 species